GAUGAACGCUAGCGACAGGCUUAAUACAUGCAAGUCGAGGGGUAGCAAGAUUGUAGCAAUACAAUUGUUGACGACCGGCAAACGGGUGCGGAACACGUACACAACCUUCCUACAAGUGGGGAAUAGCCCAGAGAAAUUUGGAUUAAUACCCCGUAACAUAGCGAUGUGGCAUCACAUUGCUAUUAUAGCUUCGGCGCUUGUUGAUGGGUGUGCGGCUGAUUAGAUAGUUGGCGGGGUAACGGCCCACCAAGUCUACGAUCAGUAGCUGAUGUGAGAGCAUGAUCAGCCACACGGGCACUGAGACACGGGCCCGACUCCUACGGGAGGCAGCAGUAAGGAAUAUUGGACAAUGGACGCAAGUCUGAUCCAGCCAUGCCGCGUGAAGGAUUAAGGUCUUCUGGAUUGUAAACUUCUUUUAUAAGGGACGAAAAAAGGUCUUUCUAGAUCGUCUGACGGUACCUUAUGAAUAAGCACCGGCUAACUCCGUGCCAGCCGCCGCCGUAAGAC
rnacentral:rRNA from 1 species